UAGGGAAUCUUCCGCAAUGGGCGAAAGCCUGACGGAGCAAACGCCGCGUGAGUGAUGAAGGUCUUCGGAUCGUAAAACUCUGUUAUUAGGGAAGAACAUAUGUGUAAGUAACUGUGCACAUCUUGACGGUACCUAAUCAGAAAGCCACGGCUAACUACGUGCCAGCAGCCGCGGUAAUACGUAGGUGGCAAGCGUUAUCCGGAAUUAUUGGGCGUAAAGCGCGCGUAGGCGGUUUUUUAAGUCUGAUGUGAAAGCCCACGGCUCAACCGUGGAGGGUCAUUGGAAACUGGAAAACUUGAGUGCAGAAGAGGAAAGUGGAAUUCCAUGUGUAGCGGUGAAAUGCGCAGAGAUAUGGAGGAACACCAGUGGCGAAGGCGACUUUCUGGUCUGUAACUGACGCUGAUGUGCGAAAGCGUGGGGAUCAAACAGGAUUAGAUACCCUGGUAGUCCACGCCGUAAACGAUGAGUGCUAAGUGUUAGGGGGUUUCCGCCCCUUAGUGCUGCAGCUAACGCAUUAAGCACUCCGCCUGGGGAGUACGACCGCAAGGGUUGA
rnacentral:rRNA from 1 species